UUUCAUUUUAGAUUUUACGGAAGCAACGCUGUAAGUUUAAUUAUUUUUUUGGAGUCUUUUGUUUUGGAUGGACAUGCAGCGUGAGGGGUUCUUUGGUCUUUUAUGGUCAUAGACACAUGCACGUGGGUUGUUUUUAGAACCCUAGCUAACUUUUUGAGCUUUCGUCCCUUCCCAGCCCCCUUUCAUUCGUCCCCCAACGUGAUUCCAACAAGAUCAACUCAUCUCUCACAGCCGAUUUCCCCAUCCCUCCCACUUGCAGUGCCGAUUUCACUACGCCCUCCCUCUCACGCAGUCUUCUCUUUAAAUGGGGGUUUGUUUUUUUCUUCAUACACUUUGAUAGGUUGUGCCGUUGAAGUAACGGGCCGGAAACUCCACUAAAGAUUUUUAUGGUAUGUAAAAGUCACAAUUACCUAUACGCAUGCAAAACUCACAAUUAACUACAGCCAUGCACUGACCAACUGAAGGAGGUUCUAUACGCAUGCACUGAUAACUGACAAGAGGGGACAAGAGCAGGCCUUGGUACCAAUGCAACUGGCGUAUUUAGACUGCACAACCAAUGAAUUUAAGACUUUUGCACGGAUGAAAUGUACAAAUUGAAGCAAAGAGUGAAGACAUAAAACACGAAAACGGAAUGGGAUUGCACUGUUCAUUACUGUAGCAGAAGCAUAGAUGCUUUUUAUUAUAGAUAGAUAUAAAGAUAUAUAUAAAAUAUUUAUUGUUCUUCCUUUUACAUGUGCACAUGGUUAGACUUUCUUAUCCGUUGUAGUAGUCCUAACCCUUGCUUAGAAUAUUUAAUAUAAAUUAAUGAAAUGAAAUAUUAUAGAA